rnacentral:tRNA from 1 species
GCCUCCGUAGCUCAGGGGAUAGAGCAAAGGCUUUCUAAUCCUUAGGUCGCAGGUUCGAAUCCUGCCGGGGGCAC